UUGAUCCUGGGCUCAGAUUGAACGCUGGGCGGGGCAUGCCUUACACAUGCAAGUCGAACGGCAGCACGGGGAGGCAAUCCUGGUGGCGAGUGGCGGAACGGGUGAGUAAUACAUCGGAACGUGUCCUGUAGUGGGGGGAUAGCCCGGCGAAAGCCGGAUUAAUACCGCAUACGCUCUACGGAGGAAAGGGGGGGAUCUUAGGACCUCUCGCUACAGGGGCGGCCGAUGGCAGAUUAGCUAGUUGGUGGGGUAAAGGCCUACCAAGGCGACGAUCUGUAGCUGGUCUGAGAGGACGACCAGCCACACUGGGACUGAGACACGGCCCAGACUCCUACGGGAGGCAGCAGUGGGGAAUUUUGGACAAUGGGCGCAAGCCUGAUCCAGCAAUGCCGCGUGUGUGAAGAAGGCCUUCGGGUUGUAAAGCACUUUUGUCCGGAAAGAAAACCUCUGGGUUAAUACCCCGGGGGGAUGACGGUACCGGAAGAAUAGCACCG
rnacentral:rRNA from 1 species